UGGUUUGCGUGUGUUGUCAUUGGUCGCGUCGUAUGUCGUCAUCGGUCAUUACCAUCUAGGAGGAGCCAUGGGAAUCGGUAAACCGGAUUAAAACAAACAUUUGAACGGUUGCCUCGGCUUGCCACCGCUGUGAGAAAACUUACUUACUGAAGAAGUCUGGCUGCUAAAACAGGCUUUGGAGCUGCUUUUUGUCGAACGCAAUUGAGGCUGGACGCUGAAUACACACCAUUGGCACGAAGGUCUACUCGUUCAGCUGCAGCAGCUUGGACAGAGACUCUCAACAUAACCUUACAGACCAACAGGUGUCACCACUUUGUCCAUGAUCAGAGAGUCUUCGUACAACAAAGAAGUUCUUGGAGACCAGGACUGAGGCCUCCAGGAGGAGAAGACGACAGCAGCUGAAGACCUGAAGUGGAUGAAAGAAACACAAGUCAAGUGUUACAAAGCUAUUAAUUAGAUAAAGACCUCCACCAUCUAUAAUGUAGUUGUGGGGACAUUUUUCAAAGACUAAUAUGUCUUUAUUAAACACCUGUGAGAACAUCCAACUGCUUAUGAUACAACUAUUUAAUUAUUGUAUUGUAUUGUUCAUAACUACAUUAAUCCUAACCAGCUCUAACAAGUGUUUCCUUGUGGCCAAAUGUCAUUACUUUAAAUUUUUGAGUUGAAUUUCUCUAUUUUGAAACUAAUGUUAUACAAAUCAUUUUAUUGCAUUCUAUUUUAAGAGAAAUGUCUUGAUUUUCAUUUCAUUUUGGAAGUAUAUUUUCUAAGGUUUUAUAUUUAACUUUUUGUGGGUUUGAUACUUACUGUUUAGACAUUUAGGUUCUAUUUUUUUUUUUUUAAACAGGUUUCAUGCUAAAUGCUUACACAUUUUUUAAGGUUUGAAAUAUAUUUAAUUUAUUUUAUACUUUUUAGACCUAUGUAUUUAAGGUUUUAAGUGUAUUUUUUAAAGGUUUUACAUUUAAUUUUAUAGGUUUUAGUUUUUGAAAGACAUACUAAAUAUUUAAAUUAAGUUUUCAGUUUAUCUAUUAAAGGUUUCCUAAUUCAUU